CCAAUGGCAGAAAUAAUGCAAUAGAAUUAGAAUCUAAAUAUUACUA
rnacentral:tRNA from 1 species